rnacentral:rRNA from 1 species
CUCUUGAUCCACGAGCACUUAGCAGAGAUGCUUUCGGUGCCUUCGGGAACUCUGAGACAGGUGCUGCAUGGCUGUCGUCAGCUCGUGUUGUGAAAUGUUGGGUUAAGUCCCGCAACGAGCGCAACCCUUAUCCUUUGUUGCCAGCGGUCCGGCCGGGAACUCAAAGGAGACUGCCAGUGAUAAACUGGAGGAAGGUGGGGAUGACGUCAAGUCAUCAUGGCCCUUACGAGUAGGGCUACACACGUGCUACAAUGGCAUAUACAAAGAGAAGCGACCUCGCGAGAGCAAGCGGACCUCAUAAAGUAUGUCGUAGUCCGGAUUGGAGUCUGCAACUCGACUCCAUGAAGUCGGAAUCGCUAGUAAUCGUGGAUCAGAAUGCCACGGUGAAUACGUUCCCGGGUCUUGUACACACCG